CCUACGGGUGGCAGCAGUGGGGAAUAUUGGACAAUGGGAGGAACCCUGAUCCAGCCAUGCCGCGUGUGUGAAGAAGGCCCUCGGGUUGUAAAGCACUUUCAGUGAGGAAGAACGCCUGGUGGUUAAUACCCAUCAGGAAAGACAUCACUCACAGAAGAAGCACCGGCUAACUCCGUGCCAGCAGCCGCGGUAAUACGGAGGGUGCGAGCGUUAAUCGGAAUUACUGGGCGUAAAGCGCGCGUAGGUGGCUUGAUAAGCCGGUUGUGAAAGCCCCGGGCUCAACCUGGGAACGGCAUCCGGAACUGUCAAGCUAGAGUGCAGGAGAGGAAGGUAGAAUUCCCGGUGUAGCGGUGAAAUGCGUAGAGAUCGGGAGGAAUACCAGUGGCGAAGGCGGCCUUCUGGACUGACACUGACACUGAGGUGCGAAAGCGUGGGUAGCAAACAGGAUUAGAUACCCGUGUAGUC
rnacentral:rRNA from 1 species